rnacentral:lncRNA from 1 species
UUUACAACAACAUCAUGGUCGAGCUGAACAUUGUCCUUGUGAAUGGAGAAAGUGGGGAGAUUGAAAAGGUUGAUUCCUUCAACAUGUAUUCUGAAAGUGAGGACUCGUUGGUGUUUCCUGAGGGAGAUCAAACUCCAAACAACUGUUCUGGUGGCCUCAGAUGAUCCAGUGACAAAGAUGACUGAUGCGAUCAGGGAGACGUUUGUCAGUCUGGGGAGCACUGAGGUGAUAUCACUGGAGACCAGAGAUGGCUGGGUCUUUGUUGGAGCAGGUGAUAUGAAUGGACAGAGCCCCUUUGAGAAGGUACAGUAAGAAUGUACUUUUCAUUUCAAGGUUAUAAAGUUGAAAAAAAGCAUAUUGUAUGCACUUUGUGUCAUACAUUUUCUUGUUUGUUGGUGUACAUCCUCCAUAUGGGUUGUGAAGAACAAUGUUGAGACAAAUGUGUAUGAUGGCUGGCCAGGUGUGGUGGAGGUGGGAGGCUGCAUCCCGAGGAGGAGCAGAGAGUAAGGAAUAUGAUGGUUGCACGGAAGAGUUCCUUUACAUAGCUGUCCUCAUUAUUCGAUAUGUAAAAUAUUACUUGUUG